rnacentral:rRNA from 1 species
GAGUUUGAUCCUGGCUCAGGGUGAACGCUGGCGGCGCGCUUAAUGCAUGCAAGUCGAGCGUGAUCGUGGCUUCGGCCACAAUGAUAAAGCGGCAGACGGCUGAGUAACGCGUGAGUAAUCUGCCCUCCGGUGGGGUAUAACCUCGGGAAACUGAGGAUAAUCCCGCAUACGACCUGCAUCCCGUGGGAUGCAGAUGAAAGGCUUCGGUCGCCGGAGGAGGAGCUCGCGUCCUAUCAGGUUGUUGGUGGGGUAAUGGCCCACCAAGCCGAUGACGGGUAGCUGGUCUGAGAGGAUGACCAGCCAGAGGGGGACUGAGAACGGCCCCCACUCCUACGGGAGGCAGCAGCAGGGAAUCUUGGGCAAUGGGCGAAAGCCUGACCCAGCGACGUCGCGUGGGGGACGAAGGCCUUAGGGUUGUAAACCCCUUUUCCGAGGGAAGAUACAGGACGGUACCUCGGGAAUAAGCCCCGGCUAACUACGUGCCAGCAGCCGCGGUAAUACGUAGGGGGCAAGCGUUACCCGGAAUCACUGGGCGUAAAGUGCGCGUAGGCGGUUGGAUAAGUCUCUUGUGAAAGCUCCCGGCUCAACUGGGAGAGGUCAAGGGAUACUAUUCGACUUGAGGACAGCAGAGGUAAGCAGAAUUCCCGGUGUAGCGGUGGAAUGCGUAGAUAUCGGGAGGAACACCAGUGGCGAAAGCGGCUUACUGGGCUGUAUCUGACGCUGAGGCGCGAGAGCGUGGGGAGCAAACUGGAUUAGAUACCCUGGUAGUC